AAUAGUUCUGUGGAGCGGCAACUGUGGGUCCAUCUUACAGAUAAAGCCUGUGCUACAUUGUCCUCCUUCUAUAUUCAGCACAUGCUUAAUAAGCUCCUGUACUAUUCUUGGCACCCGAGGGUCACUGAUGGACAUGGGGCAGACAAGAACCUGCCCUCUGGAGCCUCCAGUUGGAUUCUGUUCAUCCACCCUGCAAUGACGGAUCUACCCAACCUGCUGAUUCAACAUGGCAGCUGCUGGUCAAUAGUUCAUUGAAAAUAAAAUUAAAUUCUUUAAUUCUAA